GUUUUCGGCUCUAAGCGGCCUGGGCGCCCUCGACUCGGACCGGCUCGGACCGAACCAGCUGUCAAUCACUGCAGCGUCCGCGGCCCCGCCGGCGACAUGGCAUGGGCACUCGCGGUCAUCCUCCUGCCUCGGCUCCUUGCGGCGGCAGCGGCGGCGGCGGCGGUGACGUCACGGGUGCAUAUGCAAAUGAGGCCCGGCCUGCUCCCAGCGCCCUAGCCAAGGGUCUGAGUCAGGGAAAUGGCUGCGAUGGCUCUUCUGGAACGCGCUGACGUCACGGGCUGCUCCCCUGAUCCCCGCCCUGCCCCCGCAGGUGAUGUCACAGUCGUCUGCCAUGACCUGGAGACGGUGGAGGUCACGUGGGGCUCGGGCCCCGACCACCACGGCGCCAACUUGAGCCUGGAGUUCCGUUAUGGCACUGGCGCCCUGCAACCCUGCCCGCGAUAUUUCCUGUCCGGCGCUGGUGUCACUUCCGGGUGCAUCCUCCCCGCGGCGAGGGCGGGGCUGCUGGAGCUGGCACUGCGCGACGGAGGCGGGGCCAUGGUGUUUAAGGCUAGGCAGCGCGCGUCCGCCUGGCUGAAGCCCCGCCCACCUUGGAAUGUGACGCUGCUCUGGACACCAGACGGGGACGUGACUGUCUCCUGGCCUGCCCACUCCUACCUGGGCCUGGACUACGAGGUGCAGCACCGGGAGAGCAAUGACGAUGAGGACGCCUGGCAGACGACCUCAGGGCCCUGCUGUGACUUGACAGUGGGCGGGCUCGACCCCGUACGCUGCUAUGACUUCCGGGUUCGGGCGUCGCCCCGGGCCGCGCACUAUGGCCUGGAGGCGCAGCCUAGCGAGUGGACAGCGGUGACAAGGCUUUCCGGGGCAGCAUCCGCGGGUGGGUGGGCGUGGUGGCGAUGACAUCAUUGGUGACCCGGAUGACUGCCGGGCAGUGGGCGGUGCCCCUGGUGAUGUCACCACGCCACUCGACUCACAGGUGACCCCUGCGCCGCCCACCUUCCCCCCCUAGCCUCCUGUACCGCAAGCCCCGCCCCAUCCCCGGCCCUGGCCCCGCCCCUCCUGCCCCUGGGCUGCGGCCUAGCAGCGCUGCUGACACUGUCCCUGCUCCUGGCCGCCCUGAGGCUUCGCAGGGUGAAAGAUGCGCUGCUGCCCUGCGUCCCUGACCCCAGCGGCUCCUUCCCUGGACUCUUUGAGAAGCAUCACGGGAACUUCCAGGCCUGGAUUGCGGACGCCCAGGCCACAGCCCCGCCAGCCAGGACCGAGGAGGAAGAUGACCUCAUCCACACCAAGGCUAAGAGGGUGGAGCCCGAGGACGGCACCUCCCUCUGCACCGUGCCAAGGCCACCCAGCUUCGAGCCAAGGGGGCCGGGAGGCGGGGCCAUGGUGUCAGUGGGCGGGGCCACGUUCAUGGUGGGCGACAGCGGCUACAUGACCCUGUGACCUUGAAGUCACUGCCAGUCUAUACUUCAGGCUGAGGUCACUUCCUGUCUUUAAAUAAUUCAAACUCACAAAUCCUGUGCCUGUCUGUAUGCAAAUGUGGUCACAAAUAUUCAAAUAAAAUGCAAAUGCUAUGCUAA